AAAUGUUAGCGGCGGACGGGUGAGGUAACACGUGGGCAACCUGCCCUGUAGAUUGGGAUAACUCCGGGAAACCGGGGCUAAUACCGAAUAAUCCAUUUUGCUUCAUGGCGAGAUGUUGAAAGACGGUUUCGGCUGUCACUACAAGAUGGGCCCGCGGCGCAUUAGCUAGUUGGUAGGGUAAUGGCCUACCAAGGCGACGAUGCGUAGCCGACCUGAGAGGGUGAUCGGCCACACUGGGACUGAGACACGGCCCAGACUCCUACGGGAGGCAGCAGUAGGGAAUCUUCCACAAUGGACGAAAGUCUGAUGGAGCAACGCCGCGUGAGUGAAGAAGGUUUUCGGAUCGUAAAACUCUGUUGUAAGGGAAGAACACGUACGAGAGUAACUGCUCGUACCUUGACGGUACCUUAUUAGAAAGCCACGGCUAACUACGUG
rnacentral:rRNA from 1 species